CGACAGGCCCUGUACGAUUCCCGGUCAUGAAUCAUGUCAGGCGCGGAAGCGAGCAGCAUUAAGUGUUCUCGGGGAUGCGAUGCAGUAAGUCUGUCGUUC
rnacentral:SRP_RNA from 1 species